ACGAAAUUAGGCUCAUUCGACGCGUUUUCGCACGAAACGAACAAAUCUGGCAAAAAAAAGUAUCGCUCUGCCCCGCGAACCAAGAUAUCAAGCACUAAAGUUGACGAUUAUUGAGGUUAGGAAACCUGUCAUACCGACAUGCGUAUAUACAUACACGGUAUUAACAUAUACUGUGGACUUUAUGUUUCGAUCACGCUUGACAUUCAUCAGCCAUAAUAAAUUAUAAAUUUAAAUUGUGCACAGAGCUGGUUCGUCGUUGCCGUGUAUAGUAAGUCAUUUCACUUUUUAAUGGCAUAAAAAAUGUUCUCUAAUAUAAAUGUUUUAAAAUAAUUGCCUCAAAAGAAUUAUGAGUUUAAAUAAAUAUAAUUAAACGCAACAAAAUAAAAAUAUGGAAUUAUUUUUAUGUCGAUGAAUAAGGUGUAUUUCAGUGCAUUCAAAAUACUGUAUCUGAAAAUGUAGGAUUUUUAAAAGUAAAAAAGAAAUUUUCUGAAAGUUAA